AGGACGAACGCUGGCGGCGUGCUUAACACAUGCAAGUCGAACGGUAAGGCCUUUCGGGGUACACGAGUGGCGAACGGGUGAGUAACACGUGGGUGAUCUGCCCUGCACUUUGGGAUAAGCCUGGGAAACUGGGUCUAAUACCGAAUAUGACCAUGGACUUCACGGUUUGUGGUGGAAAGCUUUUGCGGUGUGGGAUGGGCCCGCGGCCUAUCAGCUUGUUGGUGGGGUAAUGGCCUACCAAGGCGACGACGGGUAGCCGGCCUGAGAGGGUGACUGGCCACACUGGGACUGAGAUACGGCCCAGACUCCUACGGGAGGCAGCAGUGGGGAAUAUUGCACAAUGGGCGCAAGCCUGAUGCAGCGACGCCGCGUGAGGGAUGACGGCCUUCGGGUUGUAAACCUCUUUCAGUAGGGACGAAGCGAAAGUGACGGUACCUGCAGAAGAAGCACCGGCCAACUACGUGCCAGCAGCCGC
rnacentral:rRNA from 1 species